AUGGAUGGAACGGUGCGUGUGUGGCUGCUGGUAGGGUUCAUCCAGGUGGUCAGUCUCUCUUGUGUCCAGUGCUCCGAGCCGGCGGUCGUGGUUGUUGAGGUUAUGUUUGGCUGCUUCCCCUCCGGUCAGGAUCCAGACUGCUACACUAUCUCCUACAGAACGGCACACAACCUCACGGUGUGGCUUGAUCCUAUUGGCCACUCUGAGAGUUCGCCUGACUGCAGGCUGCUGCUCCUCAUGGCUGAGGAGCCAGUAGAAAGUAACAUCACACUGAACGCUAUAAAAAAAACGCCACACUGGAGAUUAAGACCUUUCAUAUUGCUCCUGUCCCCCUCCUCUCUCCGUGUCGAGGUGACCACCACCAGUGCUUUGCUGUCCUGCAGCCUACAGAACCAACAGACCCUCACUGCCCUCAGUCUUCACAACCAUGCACACCAAACACACACACACACUGAACACACACACAGACCACACACACACAACUCCUCGUACGCAGUGAGAGGUCUGCAGUCUGGAGCACACUACAGCAUCACAGCAGAGUUGACCACGCCGUUCACACACCUCAACAUCAGCCUCACCCAGAGACUACACACCACCAUAGAGACAGCCCAGUGUCCUAUUGGUUGGCUGGCGAGUGGAAGGAGCUGCUAUAGUGUGAGUAGGCAGAGCCUGUCAUGUGGCGACGCCCAGCACACCUGUAUGGGCAUGGCUUCAGGCGGUCACCAGGUAGAGGUUAAAACAGAGACAGACCUCCUCCUCCUCUCACCUGACCACACAUAACAAUCUGCUACUGCUCUGGACCGCUCUCAAUGACAGAAAGGAUAAGAGGUGGCCCCACUCGUCCGAUGGCUCCUCCUACAACAUGACUAGUGCUAUGAUAUCAUCAUCGCUGCCAGCCAAUCAGACGGACUGUUUUGCCCUGCAGAAGAACUCUACUGGACCCGGCUACUUUCUUACGCCGUUCUUCUGCCACAUCCUUUUACCCUUUAUCUGUCACUGGGAAA
rnacentral:lncRNA from 8 species